AUCGUUUGGUUGAACUUUUGCAUUUGUGUCUUUAUGCAUCCGACAUGUUCGACGAAAUGCUUCAUCCAUCUAAGGAAAUCAAGGGUGAAUUCAACUCCGGUAAAUCAACGGUGAUUAAUGCACUUCUUGGGGAAAGAUACCUGAAAGAGGGAGUUGUUCCAACUACUAAUGAGAAAGAAAUGACAAUUGUUGAUACGCCUGGAACUAAUGUGAUUCUUCAGAGGCAACAACGUCUCACAGAGGAAUUUGUACGACGCACUGACUUGUGACACAAGAUUACCGAUAUGCCAAGCAGGACUUAGCUGCAGUGAAUGGUAUUGUCAAUAGUGUAAAUGAUUUUGCAAUGGAUAUGGAAACCAAGAGCCUUUCUUGGAGGAGACAAACUUCUUCUUUGGUAAUUGAUUGAGACUACAAAAUCACGUGCUGUGGAGCUCAUUGAAUCUACUCUACUAUUGUCAAAUCUUGAUAUUGUUGCUUCAUUUAAUUAUUGGAGGAUAUUCCUUUUCCUCUUUUUCUUUUUUAUCCUUAAAUUGAAAAUUUAAUCAUUAAAAUAGUUUAUUAUAGCAUGCACCAGAGUCCCUUAUUUCACUGUUGCCUUGCUCAUCAUUGGCAUUGCCCUUGGUUCCAUAGGUACCUUCCCCUCUUGUCUUAUUAUAGUUGACCUUUUCUCUCAGUAUUUAUCUUUUAAAUUUCAAGCAUUAGGUUUUUGGUUUCAAAAAGAAACCCAUAUGGGGGAAGUUAAUUUUUGCUGGAUAAGGAUAGGCUGCCUUGUCUGUGUACAAAGGGGUGAAGAAAAAAAGAGAGGAGACAACAUAUUUGCCUACUUUGCCAUGUCAUUUGGAUCAAUAUGAAAAUGAUCAAGACGAACUAAGGAGUUGUUUUUGGGGGAUAUGGGGGGAUCUAAUAAUCUAUACACUGUUUACAUAAUAAGCAUCUAUUUGCCUUUCAUUUUUUUAUUGGAGUAGAAGUGCAUGAUUGAUUAAUUGUUAACUCCUGAACAGAGUAGGGUACUCAUCAUCGGCUGGGAAAGAUUGGGGAUGGAAUUCGUAUUUGUAAAUUUGUUCUCUUUUUAUUCAAUUUAUUCUGGAAUUUGAGCACUUGCUAUUAAAAGAAAAACAAGUGCUUUUCAUUUUACUGCUUUGAAACAUGCGUAUUGACAUGUUGAAACAAGGUCAUUAAAACCUCUUUUUUCUCCGCAGAGAAGAGAUGGUCUAAUCUCUUACCAUUUGUCGUAGGAGUUAAGGAUGUGACAUCCCUUUCUUCAAAUUCCAGCUUUCUCACAAGCUGAUAUCGUCCCUCAAGCUUCACUUGGUCCAAUAAUAAUGGGAAUGCAAUGAAUAAGGGUCAGGCAGCGAAAAGGGAUUGCUAAAGUUUUCCUGAGCAUUAUUUUAUUACUUUCUUUUUUCCACUGCCAUCACUUUAAUUCUGACGUAUAGACGUAUACAGUUAUCAUGACGGAACAAACUAUAUACGUAGAAAUACUGGCAUCGGAUUAGCUUUCAUGGCCGUAGCCAAGGGUUACAAGGUCAAAAUUACAAUGCCUGCUUCAAUGAGUCUCGAAAGAAGAAUCACUCUGUUGGCUUUCGGGGCUGAGUUGGUUCUGACAAACCCUGCAAAGGGAAUGAAAAGAGCCCUUCAGAAGGCUGAAGAAAUUGUGGCUAAGACUUUCAAUUCCUACAUGCCUCAGCAAUUUGUGUAUAUAAUGUAGAUUUACUCUUAAAUCCUUUUUUUUCUUGUAGUAUUUGUGUUAUUUAAAUUUGUAUUAUGUUUUAUUAAUUUUUAAGAGAAAUUUUUGUAUAAAUAUUUUGAAUUUAAUAAAAUAUUUUAUUUUAUA